AAUUAAAAGCAAAUGAAUAAAAGGUCCAGACGACCUCUAGUUUUAUGGUUGGGUAAUAUUGCCUGCAGUUGAAAGAUGAAAUUUCUAAUCUUCUUCCUUUUCUUAGUCGUCAGUUGUGAAGGACAGAGAGGAGAUUGUCCGUUUGGAUAUUUCCAAGUGAGCCGGACGGCGUGUUAUCAGCAUAGCGAUUGCCCGCCUCGGUCUUUCUGCUGGUUCACUCCAACAAGAACAUACGGAAUAUGCUGCCCAUAUUGGUGGUAGUGACCUCGAUAGACAAGAAGACUUUGAUCCCUAAGGCUUGUGCUAUGUAACGUACUGAGAUUCAGAAAAUAAAAUUUUCAACUCUA